rnacentral:rRNA from 1 species
UGGGGAAUUUUGGACAAUGGGCGCAAGCCUGAUCCAGCCAUGCCGCGUGCAGGAUGAAGGCCUUCGGGUUGUAAACUGCUUUUGUACGGAACGAAAAAGCUCUCUCUAAUACAGGGGUGAAUGACGGUACCGUAAGAAUAAGCACCGGCUAACUACGUGCC